rnacentral:rRNA from 1 species
CCAACAGGGAUUGCCCUAGUAACGGCGAGUGAAGCGGCAACAGCUCAAAUUUGAAAUCUGGCCUCGGCCCGAGUUGUAAUUUGCAGAGGAUGCUUCUGGCGCGGUGCCUUCCGAGUUCCCUGGAACGGGACGCCACAGAGGGUGAGAGCCCCGUAUGGUCGGACACCAAGCCUGUGUGAAGCUCCUUCGACGAGUCGAGUAGUUUGGGAAUGCUGCUCUAAAUGGGAGGUAAAUCUCUUCUAAAGCUAAAUACCGGCCAGAGACCGAUAGCGCACAAGUAGAGUGAUCGAAAGAUGAAAAGCACCUUGAAAAGGGGGUUAAAUAGUACGUGAAAUUGUUGAAAGGGAAGCACUUAUGACCAGACUUGGGCCGGGCGGCUCAUCAGGGGUUCUCCCCUGUGCACUCCGCCCGGCACAGGCCAGCAUCGGUUCUCGUGGGGGGAUAAGACCGUCAGGAACGUAGCACCCUCCGGGGUGUGUUAUAGCCUGGCGGACGAUACCCCCGUGGGGACCGAGGUCCGCGCUCCGCAAGGAUGCUG